rnacentral:misc_RNA from 1 species
GAAAUGCGAUAAGUAAUGUGAAUUGCAGAAUUCAGUGAAUCAUCGAAUCUUUGAACGCACAUUGCGCUCGCCAGUAUUCUGGCGAGCAUGCCUGUUCGAGCGUCAUUUCAACCAUCAAGCUCUGCUUGCGUUGGGGAUCCGCGGCUGCCCGCGGUCCCUCAAAAACAGUGGCGGGCUCGCCAGUCACACCGAGCGUAGUAACUCUACAUCGCUAUGGUCGUGCGGCGGGUUCUUGCCGUAAAACCCCCAAUUUCUAAGGUUGACCUCGGAUCAGGUAGGAAUACCCGCUGAACUUAAGC